CAUAAAUCGUACUACUUACCUUCUUAAUAACUUCCUCUCCACACAAGGAUUAAAAAAGUGUUGUGUCUUUACCAAAUGAAUUAAUAACCUUCUUAUACUUUCUCUUCACUAAUUAAUACUGUUCUGAGGACAACAUUAACUCUAAUAUAUUAAUGAAAACUGCAAGCUUUUUGGGCACAGAAAGAGAGAAUUUGAACAGCUUUUUUAUAAAGGAUAUGUACAUUUCAGAAAGAUCCUAUAGGUCUAAAAGCAGCUGCUGGAGUCUUUUCUCAGGGCAGAAAGUACCAAAAGAAUCAGUGGUCACUGGUGAUUCCUUUGGGGCAGCUAGAAGAUAAAAACAACUGUCAUAGAUGUCUUACUGAGUUGUGAAUCAGUCAUGCAGCAUCUUCUGUAAGGUUGUUGAUACGCUGCAUCUGCAACACUCCCUGAGGCAAAUGUAUGGAGAUGGAGCUCAAAAGACCAAAGGAGGAAAUCACUAUGAGAGAAGAGAGGUGGGAAAUGAAUGCUGGUCAAAGUGAAAGUGUAUGUGAAGAAGUAAUUCUCCAGAAG
rnacentral:lncRNA from 1 species